ensembl:lncRNA
GUAAAUGGAUACUUGAUGAAGUGGACGUCAUGAGUCACAUGAGUGCAUGUCCGCUUUUCUUACCGUCAACAGAAAUCAUUGAGCAAGCACAUUAUAAUUCAGAGCGAGGAGUGCCUUCUGUUGUUCAAAGAGGAACUGAAAGAAACAAUAUAAAAAAGAACACAAUAUACUCCACACUUGCAAGAAAGCAUUCAUUAUUUUCCCAAUGCUUUCAUCAUCCAAUUAGAAAAGCUUGAUUAGCAUCUGAAGCCAUAGCUAUAGAUGUCAGUCAAUUUAUUUCAACCACCUCAUGGCGACUCUGUAUAUCAUAUAGCAAACAUUAAACCUUGAUGUUUAUUGAAUGCGACUGGUCAUAUUACAUCUCAUUCACAGGCAGAGCUCUGGGCUGUUAAUGGUAGGAGCUGUGGAUAGAUUCACCUGCACCAACAGCUUUAAUGCUGAUGCCAUCUACUGGUCAGGAAGUUGGGUUGGGGUCGACACAAAGAUUAUCUGCAUCACCCAGAGGCGAAUGUGGGAGAUAGGAAAAUCGUUUUUGUACCUGGGCCUUUGCAUGUCACAGAUCAUCUUGGACUGCUCAUCGCUCCCCACACUUUCUGUGCGCCAACCCUAAGCACCAUGAUCCUGAAGACCAAACAGGAUGCUCAUUCAAACCUUCCAGAUGACGGUGGAGUGGGACUGCACCUUGUUCAAUAACUUGGAGAGAAAUCCCCAGUCUCCCAUUUCAUCUGAUUUUCAACAACGUUCUGCAUGCAAACAGAUUGAAAAAUGUUUCCGUAUUUACAGACUAUGGAAUUCGUUUUGAUGGAACUGCAAAAUAGCUAUUCUACUGUUGUUCUGUAUCAUUUGUAUCUUUAACAUAUAUUGAUGUUUCCUGCUCUGAUUGGCUGUUGCAUGGUGGUUAUUGUGUGAGCAUAUAAAUGCUCAUAUAGGGGACUGAUGGAACUGGAAAUAUUGCUAUUCUGUUGUUGUAAGACAUUAACUCCUUAUGUUGUAUCUGCAACUCAUUUUGGAUGUGUACUCUGUCUGUUUCACUGAGACCUGAACAAGUGGCUUGUGAACCCUCCCCCCCCCCCCAGAUAGGCUCCUUCCUGCUAAGACCCUUUGUGC